UGAAAUUUUAAAUUUAAAAAAUUAUAUAAAAAUUUUAUUGAAAUUAUGAAAUUUUAAUAAUAAACUAGGAUUAGAUACCCUAUUAUUUAAAAUGUAAAUUAAAAAUCUAGGAUAGUAUUAGUUAUGUUCUUGAAAAUUAAAAAAUUUGGCGGUAUUUUAGUCUAUUCAGAGGAACCUGUUUUAUAAUUGAUAAUCCACGUUGGACCUUACUUAAUUUAAUUUAGUAUGUAUACCGCCGUCGUCAGAAUGUCUUAAAAAAGGAAUAAUUUUCUAAAAUUUUUAAUAUAAAUUAUGUCAGGUCAAGGUGCAGCUUAUGGUUAAGUAAAAAUGGGUUACUAAUAAAUUUAUUUUUGGAUAAAAAGUUGAAAUAUUUUUUUUAAAUUGGAUUUGAUAGUAAAAUAAAAAAGAAAAAUUAUUUGAUUUUAGCUCUAAAAUAUGCACAUAUCGCCCGUCGCUCUCGUUAUUAAGAUGAGAUAAGUCGUAACAUAGUAGAUGUACCGGAAGGUGUAUCUAGAAAGA
rnacentral:rRNA from 1 species